rnacentral:rRNA from 1 species
AGUCGAACGGUAACGCGGGGGCAACCCUGGCGACGAGUGGCGAACGGGUGAGUAAUACAUCGGAACAUGUCCUGGAGUGGGGGAUAGCUCGGCGAAAGCCGGAUUAAUACCGCAUACGCUCUGAGGAGGAAAGCGGGGGACCUGGUAACGGGCCUCGCGCUGCGGGAGUGGCCGAUGUCGGAUUAGCUAGUUGGUGAGGUAAAGGCUCACCAAGGCGACGAUCCGUAGCUGGUCUGAGAGGAUGAUCAGCCACACUGGGACUGAGACACGGCCCAGACUCCUACGGGAGGCAGCAGUGGGGAAUUUUGGACAAUGGGGGCAACCCUGAUCCAGCCAUGCCGCGUGAGUGAAGAAGGCCUUCGGGUUGUAAAGCUCUUUCGGACGGGACGAAAUGGUUACGGUGAAUAACUGUGACUGAUGACGGUACCGUAAUAAGAAGCACCGGCUAACUACGUGCCAGCAGCCGCGGUAAUACGUAGGGUGCGAGCGUUAAUCGGAAUUACUGGGCGUAAAGCGUGCGCAGGCGGUUCGCCAAGUCAGGUGUGAAAUCCCCGGGCUUAACCUGGGAAUUGCGCUUGAAACUAGCGGGCUUGAGUGUGGCAGAGGGGGGUGGAAUUCCACGUGUAGCAGUGAAAUGCGUAGAGAUGUGGAGGAACACCGAUGGCGAAGGCAGCCC